rnacentral:tRNA from 1 species
AAGGAUUUAAGUUAACAAAACUAAUAACCUUCAAAGUUGUAAAUAAAGAUUACCUUUAAGCCUUA